rnacentral:rRNA from 1 species
AGAGUUUGAUCCUGGCUCAGGAUGAACGCUGGCGGCGUGCCUAAUACAUGCAAGUCGAGCGAACAGAUAAGGAGCUUGCUCCUUUGACGUUAGCGGCGGACGGGUGAGUAACACGUGGGUAACCUACCUAUAAGACUGGAAUAACUCCGGGAAACCGGGGCUAAUGCCGGAUAACAUUUAGAACCGCAUGGUUCUAAAGUGAAAGAUGGUUUUGCUAUCACUUAUAGAUGGACCCGCGCCGUAUUAGCUAGUUGGUAAGGUAACGGCUUACCAAGGCAACGAUACGUAGCCGACCUGAGAGGGUGAUCGGCCACACUGGAACUGAGACACGGUCCAGACUCCUACGGGAGGCAGCAGUAGGGAAUCUUCCGCAAUGGGCGAAAGCCUGACGGAGCAACGCCGCGUGAGUGAUGAAGGUCUUCGGAUCGUAAAACUCUGUUAUUAGGGAAGAACAAAUGUGUAAGUAACUGUGCACGUCUUGACGGUACCUAAUCAGAAAGCCACGGCUAACUACGUGCCAGCAGCCGCGGUAAU